GGGUGCAUGGUCUAGUGGUAUGAUUUUCGCUUUGCAUACUCACCUUCGAGGUUCUUUACGAGCCAAGAAGAUAUGCAAUCUUGUGAACGGUCCCCGGUUCGAUCCCGGGUGCAUCCA